AUUGAACGCUGGCGGCAGGCUUAACACAUGCAAGUCGAGCGGAGUGAUGGUGCUUGCACUAUCACUUAGCGGCGGACGGGUGAGUAAUGCUUAGGUAUCUGCCUAUUAGUGGGGGACAACAUCUAGAAAGGGAUGCUAAUACCGCAUACGUCCUACGGGAGCAGGCAGGGGAUCACUUGUGACCUUGCGCUAAUAGAUGAGCCUAAGUCGGAUUAGCUAGUUGGUGGGGUAAAGGCCUACUAAGGCGACGAUCUGUAGCGGGUCUGAGAGGAUGAUCCGCGAAACCGGGACGGAGGAACGGACCGGAGUCCUACGGGAGGGAGACGUGGGGAAGAUUGGACGAUGGGGGGAAUCCUGAUCCAUGCAUGCCGCGUGUGUGAAGAAGGCCUUAUGGUUGUGAAGCGCAUGAAGCGAGUAGGAGGCUCUUUUGGUUAAUACCCAAAAUGAGUGGACGGUACUCGCAGAAUAAGCACCGGCUAACUCUGUGCCAGCCGCCGCGGUAA
rnacentral:rRNA from 1 species